rnacentral:rRNA from 1 species
CCCCUAGAUGUUCUGGGCCACACGCGCGCUACACUGAACAGUUCAACAAGUCUUAACCUUGGCCGAUAGGUCUGGGUAAUCUUUGAACGCUGUUCGUGAUUGGGAUAGACCUUUGCAAUUAUGGGUCUUCAACGAGGAAUUCCUAGUAAACGCAAGUCAUCAGCUUGCAUUGAUUACGUCCCUGCCCUUUGUACACACCGCCCGUCGCACCUACCGAUUGAAUGGUCCGGUGAAAUCCUCGGAUCGAGCCGUGGGGCAACUCCGGUUCGAGAAGUUGAUUAAACCUUACCAUUUAGAGGAAGGUGAAGUCGUAACA